rnacentral:rRNA from 1 species
UGCAGUCGAGCGGUAACAGAAAAGAAGCUUGCUUCUUUUGCUGACGAGCGGCGGACGGGUGAGUAAUGCCUGGGAAUAUACCCUGAUGUGGGGGAUAACUAUUGGAAACGAUAGCUAAUACCGCAUAAUCUCUUCGGAGCAAAGAGGGGGACCUUCGGGCCUCUCGCGUCAGGAUUAGCCCAGGUGGGAUUAGCUAGUUGGUGGGGUAAUGGCUCACCAAGGCGACGAUCCCUAGCUGGUCUGAGAGGAUGAUCAGCCACACUGGAACUGAGACACGGUCCAGACUCCUACGGGAGGCAGCAGUGGGGAAUAUUGCACAAUGGGGGAAACCCUGAUGCAGCCAUGCCGCGUGUAUGAAGAAGGCCUUCGGGUUGUAAAGUACUUUCAGUUGUGAGGAAGGCAGUUAAGUUAAUAGCUUGGCUGUUUGACGUUAGCAACAGAAGAAGCACCGGCUAACUCCGUGCCAGCAGCCGCGGUAAUACGGAGGGUGCGAGCGUUAAUCGGAAUUACUGGGCGUAAAGCGCAUGCAGGCGGUCUGUUAAGCAAGAUGUGAAAGCCCGGGGCUCAACCUCGGAACAGCAUUUUGAACUGGCAGACUAGAGUCUUGUAGAGGGGGGUAGAAUUUCAGGUGUAGCGGUGAAAUGCGUAGAGAUCUGAAGGAAUACCGGUGGCGAAGGCGGCCCCCUGGACAAAGACUGACGCUCAGAUGCGAAAGCGUGGGGAGCAAACAGGAUUAGAUACCCUGGUAGUCCACGCCGUAAACGAUGUCUACUUGAAAGGUUGUGGCCUUGAGCCGUGGCUUUCGGAGCUAACGCGUUAAGUAGACCGCCUGGGGAGUACGGUCGCAAGAUUAAAACUCAAAUGAAUUGACGGGGGCCCGCACAAGCGGUGGAGCAUGUGGUUUAAUUCGAUGCAACGCGAAGAACCUUACCUACUCUUGACAUCCAGAGAAUUCGCUAGAGAUAGCUUAGUGCUUUCGGGAACUCUGAGACAGUGCUGCAUGCUGUCGUCAGCUC